UCAUUUCAACAGCUCUCUUCAUCUUCAGGACUAAGUCAGCCCCUUACACAAAGGACUCAUGAGGGGCAUGCAGUCUGUACACCCAGGCUGAGCCCAAGGGUCUAUUCUGAUCCUUUUUUUUUUUUUAAGAUAAAAGUUCUUGCAGGUAUACUAGGGGUCUCCAUCAAAAGUAAAGAAUAAUUUUGUAGAAAGGUUUUGAGACUUUCUUAACUCUCUGAAACUACACAAGCUGGUCCUUUUGACUUGGAAGCUAAAUUUCUAAGAUGGAAAGUCACAUGUAUGAGUGGGAGGCAUGAAACCAAUUAUUCGACCUGUCUGGGGUCAUGAGUGCAGAGGCGGCUCCUACGAACCAUCUGCCUCUUCAAAUGUGGAUGAGAGACCUACAGCCCUUGGGAGGUGCAUUUCUGCAUUCGAAGAAGAACCUGAGAGAAACCUGACUCAGGGAGCAUGGGUAUCUGGACCUCAGGCACUGAUAUCUUCCUAAGUCUUUGGGAGAUUUACGUGUCUCCAAGGAGCCCCGGAUGGAUGGGCUUUAUCCAGCAUUUGGGAGUUUGCUGUUUGGUUGCUCU
rnacentral:sRNA from 1 species